rnacentral:rRNA from 1 species
UUUGGAAGAGGUGUGUUUAUUAGUAAGAAAACCAUUUAUUUUUGGAUAAUAUUGUGAGUAAUAAUAACCUUUUGUAUUGUAUGUUUUUAGAUAACGAUAGUUUUUUCAAGUUUUUGCCCUAUCAACUUUCGAUGGUAGUAUAUGGGACUUCCCUGGCAGUAACGGGUAACGAAGAAUUUGGGUUUGAUUUUGGAGAGGGAACCUGAGAGAAGGCUUCCCCAUUCAAGGAAGGCAGCAGGCGCGUAAAUUACCCAAUCCUGACAUAGGGAGGUAGUGGCAAUAAAUCCCAAUGCGGAACUUUUUAGUUUUGCAAUUGGAUUGAGAACAAUGUACAAAUGUUAUCGAUAAACAAUUGGAGGGCAAGUCUGGUGCCAGCAG